rnacentral:rRNA from 1 species
AUUGAACGCUGGCGGAAUGCUUUACACAUGCAAGUCGAACGGCAGCACGGGGGCAGCCCUGGUGGCGAGUGGCGAACGGGUGAGUAAUACAUCGGAACGUGCCCGGUCGUGGGGGAUAACGUAGCGAAAGUUACGCUAAUACCGCAUACGAUCUGAGGAUGAAAGCGGGGGACCUUCGGGCCUCGCGCGAUCGGAGCGGCCGAUGUCAGAUUAGGUAGUUGGUGGGGUAAAGGCCUACCAAGCCGACGAUCUGUAGCUGGUCUGAGAGGACGACCGGCCACACUGGGACUGAGACACGGCCCAGACUCCUACGGGAGGCAGCAGUGGGGAAUUUUGGACAAUGGGCGCAAGCCUGAUCCAGCCAUUCCGCGUGCAGGACGAAGGCCUUCGGGUUGUAAACUGCUUUUGUACGGAACGAAAAGGCUCUGGCUAAUACCUGGGGCUCAUGACGGUACCGUAAGAAUAAGCACCGGCUAACUACGUG